GGCCCCGCGCGGCCCGCGGGCGAAAGGUAAGCACGAACUGAAGCAGGGACGCGCACCGCGCCGGGCGGCACCGGCCCGGCUCAGGGGAGCUCCUGGGUGCCUGUGCUGACAUCCAUCAGAAGCACCUGCUCGCUCUGACCUCCCAGAGUGAGGAGACCACAGUCUGUCUUGAGCUGUGGUGUUGAUUCCUUUUGGUUUACCUAAUUCAGCAUGCUGGACUGUGCCAGACUUGAAGAUGAGAAAUAUAAACUACCAAGAUAUUAACUAAUGCUAACAUGGAAACAGGCUGACCCAAGCACCAUGGGGGGAGGUCAUGAGUGAGACUGUUAUGAGCCUAAGAAGAGUAUUGAAAAUCCCAAGGACAUUCAGAGUCUCAUCAGACUACUUUAAUUAUCUUAUCAUAUGUUGUCUUGCUGCUAUACUCUAAGACCCUCAAAGACAGCAAUCAGCUCUUAUCCACGUCUGGGCUCUCUUGAUGGCAGAUGGGAGGCUUCAUACAAGGAAACAGAGGCUUUGAAAGGAAGCUGUUUGCCCAAGUGCACAAGCCAGUAAGUGGAAAACUCAGGUCCCUCUCCAGUUGCUGUGCAAACUGUUUUCUGAUCCAAAGUCAGUGAGAUUCCUCAGCCUUUUGGAAGGGAUGCCUUGAAUUAUUCAACCUGCAGCACAGAUCUCCGGAGAACAUCGCCUCGCGGCUACUUUAAUCACUAGAAAGGUUCAGAGUCAGUUAUAAUCAAGCCGGAGUCAAUGUGGAAAUGCUCAUCUUGGCUUGGAAACAAGAUCAAAAGGAGGACCAAGGUGGAGCUCAGAUCUGAGAAGAGAGAUGGGUGCUGGUUUCCAGAGGCUUGUGGGUCCCCCUGUUUCCAAAGGCAACUGCAGGCCGCAGCUCCAGGCCCUGCAGGGCAUGUCAUUGCAUAACUCUCUGACCUUUUCUAAUGUCAUCAAGGGCCUGUGACAGCUCUCUGCCAAUUCAGGGACAGACUGACCAAGGCUAGGGGGAAGACUGUGACCUUUAAGAAUGUGUGGGAAGGAGCUAGCGGUGACGCUGGGGAGAGCUAACCCAGGCUGACCUGCGAUUGGCACAGGCAGGCGUUGGGGGCUUGAGGGUGUGGAGGGCUGGCUGGGGCAUCUGUGGACACAACCAGAGUGGAAAGCAGCCUAGGGGCGAGGGCAGUGGCCAGGGCUUGUCCAGGGGUGGGUCAUUCUCCUCAGCUGGGUCCCUAUGGAGUCCUGAGAAAUUGAUGGGCAUUGAGGCUGAAAUGGAAACAAGGAGGGGUUUUCGGGUGUAGCUUAUGUCCUCUGUGUCAGGUAGUUGGCACAAAAGGGUGGGGGGACUGCAUGCAGCUUAGCAUGGGGGCUUCAGCUAACACAGUGCGUUCCCUGCAUUACAUGAGGGUUUGGUGCUCUCUCAGAGAACAGUGUGUUGAGGGCCAGAGGUCCCACUGAUAGCUUGGGGGGACAGGCACACCCCCUUCCCCUGAAACAGUAACAGGACAUGGGUGCAGCUGAGCUGACUGCACUCCUCCAAGGAUGGAGCUGCAUGGGGGGCAUGAACACACCCCCCCACCCCCCGCUUAAAGAGGAAAGAUGCUCAGGGAGGACUCCAGGAGCCCACCCAGGGUGUAUGGCCUGCUCCUCCUUCCCACACCCUUGUCCUGCAGGCGAUGGCAUGGAGCAUGGGUGAGGGCUUCUGUGAAAUGGAAGGUCGCCUGAUUCUGUCUCUCCCCUGCCUCAGGUGGGCAGCGCUGGGGAGGUCUCGUGGGGAUUUACCUGCUCAGCCUGGAGCCAGGCUUUGGGACCCAUGCUCUCUCUCAGCUGCUGGGCCUCUUGCUCUUUCUCUGGCCAGGACUAGGGGGGCUCGAGUGGUGUCUUACCUCUGAGGAGUGAGGUCAGAGAAAGCCCUGGGCAGGGAUGGCCCUGCCAGCCCAGUUGCUCUCUGGCCCAGCCCAGCCCACUUGCAUGGGCUUGCACCAGGCUAGCCAAGAGGACAGUGCUGGCUGGGCACUGGCAGGCACUUUUCCCUCCUCUUCGGAGUGGGCUGGGUCAAGGAGGGCUUGGAAAUUCUGGAGCUGGCUCAGAUGCUGUCCUAGCAAUUGAGUCACCACAGCCUCCUCCUUGCAUGGCUCAGACCAGAGAUAGUGGGGGGUCUGAAGCUUCUGGGUCUUGGGGAGCAGGGUCCUCGGGCCCUGCAUUGGAGCCCUCCAUGAUGGAUAUGGAUGUCACCACAGGGGUGUGGGCUGUUCCUUCAGCUCUGUGGGUGGCAGAGGCCUUGGUGACAGUUAUCCCUGGUGGGACCAGGACACAAAGAUGGGGGGCUAUGACAGACAUUAAGGUGGCAGCUGGGUGUUUGUGGGGACACGUGUGUCAUGCACACAUGAGCAGGUUGCUGGGGUCAAGUCUUAGCCAUGUGACCUCGCCCUCUAAGGACCUCAGUUUCUCCACCUGUGAAGUGGACAGAGGGUCAUGGUGAUGGGUGCAGCAGAGCUGGGGCACCAGGCUGGCACAGGGAACACUCGGAACCAGUCUUCAUGCCUGGCUGUGUCUCCGUGUCCUCGCAGAGACUCAAAGGGCUGGUAGUGUCACACAGGCUGCCGUGGCUGGGACUGCAGGCACCCACAUACCCCACAGCUCACCCCGAGGGCGCUUGGGGGCACUAGGAAAACACUGUUUAAUUUUUUUCCUUUUGCGCAGCAGCGAAGCCACACGAAUGGAUGGGACUUGCCCUCAGCUUCCCCAUUUCAGUGGAAUCAGCAAAAAGCUGAUUACAGCCUAUUAUACACAUGAGCUGCGCAAGUGAGAAUGUGGGCUGCACAGGGGGUGCUCUUAUGUUUCUCCAUCCUGGGGGCUUUUGGUCAUUUGGUGGGGUUCCUUCUGGACCUACUGCUAUGUGUAUGGAAAUACAGCUCAUAUAGAUACACACUGUUUACGCUGCCCUUCCCCCUCUCUCCCUCCCCUCCCUCUCUCAUUCUCUGUCUCACACACACACACAACAGCAGCGUGCACAGACACUGCCAUUGACAUGACACAGCCUGGCGAUCCCCCACCCCAGUUAUCUGGGGCCGCACACACACACACACACACACACACACACACAAUUCCUCCUUCCCCCCUUCUUCCAGGGGGAGAACCCCACCAUACACAUGUACACAUGUGUGUAAAUGUUAUUGACAUGGCUUAGCAAUCUACUGCCCCCUCCCAUUAUUCUUGUGCUAAGCACAUCUUAUUAUGUAAAAACGCCACCCCCCACCAUCUUUGCGGUUCCCAGAAGAUUUAGGAAAUUAAAUGAGACAAAAACUAUUCUAAUAGUCCCAAGGGACACUUUAAGAAAGGAAGUGCUUUUCGAAAAGCCUUCAAAAAAUUAUUUUCCCUGGUUAAACAUUAAUAUAGCGUUAAGAAAAAAAAAAUCAAAAACGGCAUCAUCUCACCUCCCAGCCAUCAUCACUGUUAACAGUUUGGUGCAGGGUUGUUCUUUCUAAUCUUGUAUCUGUGCCCACAGUGUGUGUGUGAGGCUCUGUGUAUUUAAACCACACCGGAAACACAGUUUAACAUUUUCCCUUUGCUUUUCCUAGUUUAUAUUGUUUCACAGCUAUUUCUUUCAUUGAUAUAUAACUAUGGGCCUAGACACAGAGUUGCCAGGACCAUAAGGCCUGGCUUUCCCAAACGGGAAAUGCAAUAAAAAGUUUGGAGACCAACCUGACUCUCCAGGUAUUUAGAGACAUGACCAAUUGUUUGUGCAUAAUAUUUAAUGUACAGAUUUAAUUAUACAGAUUAUCUAUAACUUCUAUUGAUGUGCGAUAGCGCGGUAACAUUGUGACAAGUCUCAAGGUGCACCAUGGAGCCCCACUUGGCAGGUCAAGCCACGGUUCCACAGAUAAUGUAAAACGACGCCACAGAUAAUGUAAAGCCACGUAGAACAGGAAAUUUAGACUGAUUUGGCUUUUCACUUUUAUAUUCCCUCCCUACUGCAUCUUUGACCCUGGUGCUUUCUCUAGCCUCAGAGCCGCCUGGUGACCCCCCACCCUGGCUGCCUGGGGUCCCUCAUUUUUAUUGUGUGCAACUGGUUGGAGAUUGAGAUGCUACAGUUUAAAAAGCUGUGUACAAUGUUGUCGCUGGAAAUUGUCUUCUAUUUGCAUUGCAUUAGGGAUGCCUUUCCCCUUGAGCCCGCGCUCUGUGUUGGUGAUCUCUGCAACGCAACUGCUAUCUGCAUGGCUUUUAGAAGUGAUCUUUAAAGCCUUGUUUACACUGUCAGCCAACACAGCCAUUGCGAGGUUGUAACCUCCACAAUAGUCACAAAUCCCGGCCACAUUUCUAUGCCUCCUUUUUGCUAAUUCUGGCAGGUCACCUCUUUGUACAUCCCAAACUAGUAUUGAUUGAGGUCGGGAGGGCUAAUGUGAUUUCCCCAAAGAGUACUUUAUUGUUUAAAAUAAAGUGAAAGCGAGUGUGCUUAA